CCUACGGGAGGCAGCAGUGAGGAAUAUUGGUCAAUGGCCGUAAGGCUGAACCAGCCAAAUCGCGUGAAGGAAGAAGGAUCUAUGGUUUGUAAACUUCUUUUAUAGGGGAAUAAAGGUAUCCACGUGUGGAUCUUUGCAUGUACCCUAUGAAUAAGCAUCGGCUAACUCCGUGCCAGCAGCCGCGGUCAUACGGAGGAUGCGAGCGUUAUCCGGAUUUAUUGGGUUUAAAGGGUGCGUAGGUUGUUUUUUAAGUCAGCGGUGAAAGUUUGUGGCUCAACCAUAAAAUUGCCGUUGAAACUGGAAGACUUGAGUGUGUUUGAGGUAGGCGGAAUGCGUGGUGUAGCGGUGAAAUGCAUAGAUAGCACGCAGAACUCCGAUUGCGAAGGCAGCUUACUAAGCCAUAACUGACACUGAAGCACGAAAGCGUGGGGAUCAAACAGGAUUAGAUACCCGGGUAGUC
rnacentral:rRNA from 1 species